rnacentral:rRNA from 1 species
CCCUUAGAUGUCCUGGGCCGCACGCGCGCUACACUGAUGCAUUCAACGAGUUCUAGCUUGCCUCGCUCGCAAGAGUGGGGUAAUCGUUUGAAAAUCCCACGUGAUUGGGAUAGGGACUUGUAAUUAUUUCCCUUGAACGAGGAAUCCCUAGUAAGUGCAGGUCAUCAGCUUGCGCUGAUUACGUCCCUGCCCUUUGUACACACCGCCCGUCGCUGCCCGGAACUGAGCCAUUUCGAGAAAAAUGGGGACAGACUGCUUGUGGGUGCGCAAGCACUUCUUGCAGAUUGAAACCAUCUUGAUCGGUAUGGCUUGAACCGGGCAAAAGUCGUANCA